GAUGAACGCUGGCGGCGUGCUUAACACAUGCAAGUCGAACGGAAAGGCUCCUGCUUUCAGGGGUACUCGAGUGGCGAACGGGUGAGUAACACGUGGGUGAUCUGCCCUGCACUUCGGGAUAAGCCUGGGAAACUGGGUCUAAUACCGGAUAGGACGAUGGUUUGGAUGCCAUGGGGGAAAGUUUUUUCGGUGUGGGAUGAGCUCGCGGCCUAUCAGCGUGUUGGUGGGGUAUUGGCCUACCAAGGCGUCGACGGGUAGCCGGCCUGAGAGGGUGUCCGGCCACAUUGGGACUGAGAUACGGCCCAGACUCCUACGGGAGGCAGCAGUGGGGAAUAUUGCACAAUGGGCGGAAGCCUGAUGCAGCGACGCCGCGUGGGGGAUGACGGCCUUCGGGUUGUAAACUCCUUUCGCUAGGGACGAAGCGCAAGUGACGGUAACUGGAGAAGAAGCACCGGCUAACUACGUG
rnacentral:rRNA from 1 species